UCCGAGACCCUCUGACGAGGAUGGCCCCCAACUCAGGCGCCGCGCGGGGGUUCAGCUUGGGCGAGGAGCUCCCCUCCCCGGGCGGCCUCCGUUGCUUCUUCUUGAAGGUGGCCAGGGGCGAGGCAGUCAGGAAGUAAGACGUCUCUCCUGCUAUAAGGCUGAUCUCAGCCUAAGACCCUCUGGUGGCGGCAGUGAGGAUAACGGUGAGGCAUCAGCUCACAGCCCACGGUGGGGACAAAGGAGAACAGGUGUGCAGAGGUGCUUCAAACAUGCUGAGCACGUGCUUGUCGUCAUGGCGACGGAGAUGAUUCCUGCAUCACGGAAAAGUGAUUUGGAGCCCCGGCUGACUUAGCACGA